ACCCUCUUUCAACGACUUUGAGUUGCAAAAAGUAAGCAUCUGAGAGCAAAUAUCUUCAAGAAAGCUCAGUUCAGUGCUGUUGGGAAUUUUGGGUAUUGUUCUUCUGCAUAACAUCUCUCUGCCUUGUAAAUUAUCACUUCAUUUUUAGUCUCAGAUUUGAAUUGGGUAAAGGGUAUCAUCAAGAUUCAAUUUUGCAUACAUUUCAAUGUAAAGGAAGAGUUAAAACAGAAAAUAUAUAUGUAUUGAUGGUUGAUAACAACAAAGAACAGUAGCUAAAUAAGAUAACAACAAACAUGGGAAUGAUGGCAGGAGCUGAAAUUAAAGCUGCCGGGGUGAGAAAGACGGCGUAAGCUGGAAUAUAACGUAACGGCGGGGGAAUCAGACGGCAGUGUUAUGUGCUAGAACUUUUAGUACGAG
rnacentral:lncRNA from 1 species